rnacentral:rRNA from 1 species
UAGUCCACGCCGUAAACGAUGCGCACUAGGUAUGAGGGGCUCUGACGCCGAUCGUGCCGCAGGAAAACUGAUAAGUGCGCCGCCUGGGGAGUACGGCCGCAAGGCUAAAACUCAAAGGAAUUGACGGGGGGCUCACACAAGCGGUGGAGCAUGUGGAUUAAUUCGAAGCAACGCGAAGAACCUUACCUGGGUUUGACAUGCACGGAUGCUCUUUUGGAAACAAGAGUAGGCUGCCUUCGGGUGAAACGUGCACAGGUGCUGCAUGGCUGUCGUCAGCUCGUGCUGUGAAGUGUUGGGUUAAGUCCCUCAACGAGCGAAACCCCUAUCAUUAGUUGCCAGCGGGUUAUGCCGGGGACUCUAGUGAGACCGCCGGCGUCAAGCCGGAGGAAGGUGGGGGACGACGUCAAGUCAUCAUGGGCCUUUAUGUCCAGGGGUGUCGCACGUGCUACAAUGGGCUACUACAGAGCGACGCGAGACCGCGAGGGUGGGCGCAAAUCGCAC